rnacentral:rRNA from 1 species
AAUUACAGCCAUACCACCCUAAACAUGCCAAUCUCCUCUAAUCUCAGAAGAUAAGCAGGGUCAGGCCUGGUUAAUAUUCAGAUGGGAAGAAUGAACCAAAAAGGUAGCUACAUGUU